rnacentral:snRNA from 1 species
AGCCACGCGGUGAGCACAAAGCGAACUAUUCUUUCGCCUUUUAACUAAAGAAUAUCAUGUGCUCGCCGCAAAUAGUGGCAUACGCCAAUUAUUUUAAGAGGGAUUCU